rnacentral:rRNA from 1 species
GAUGAACGCUGGCGGCGUGCCUUAUGCAUGCAAGUCGAACGGUUUUCCCCGCAAGGGGAAGAUAGUGGCAAACGGGUGAUUAACACGUAAGUGACCUACCCUUAAGUGGGGGAUAAUCCGCCGAAAGGUGGACUAAUACCGCAUGAAGUGAUGGGAGUAGAGUUCCAUCAAUAAAGUCGCAAGACGCUUUUGGAGGGGCUUGCGUCCGAUUAGCUAGUUGGUGAGGUAACGGCCCACCAAGGCUAUGAUCGGUAGCUGGUCUGAGAGGAUGGUCAGCCACACUGGGACUGAGACACGGCCCAGACUCCUACGGGAGGCAGCAGCAAGGAAUAGUAGGCAAUGGGCGAAAGCCUGACCUCGCGACGCCGCGUGGGGGAAGAAGGCCCUCGGGUUGUAAACCCCUUUUCACAGGGAAGAAUGAUGACGGUACCUGUGGAAUAAGCCACGGCUAACUACGUGCCAGCAGCCGCGGUAAAACGUAGGUGGCAAGCGUUAUCCGGAUUUACUGGGCGUAAAAAGUGCGAAGGUGGCUGUGUAAGUCAGAUGUGAAAUUCUCCGGCUCAACCGGGAUGGACCAUUUGAUACUGCAUGGCUUGAGGACAGCAGAGGGAGGUAGAAUUCCCGGUGUAGUGGUGGAAUGCGUAGAUAUCGGGAGGA